CAAGAACCGGUUUAGUAUUCCAAAAUUGUUUAAAAAAUGAACAAUUGCCGCUGGACGCCCCUCGAUACUGGUCAAUAAUUAGACCGUUGGCGCGCCAUUCCCCCAAGUGGUUCGCCAGUAAAGGCGCCAAAGGACAGCGUGCCUUUGUUUUACUCCUAAUGGUCUUAACCCGGCUUCACCCCCCCAGAAUCCGG
rnacentral:sRNA from 1 species